UGGUGGAGUGAUUUGUCUGCUUAAUUGCGUUAACGAACGAGACCUUCACCUGCUAAAUAGCUACGCGAACCCCCGGUUCGUGGGCAGCUUCUUAGAGGGACUAUCUGAGUCAAUCAGAUGGAAGCUGGAGGCAAUAACA
rnacentral:rRNA from 1 species